rnacentral:misc_RNA from 1 species
GUGAAUCAUCAAAUUUUUGAACGCAAAUUGCGCCUUUUUCGGAAGGCAUGUCUGUUUGAGGGCACCAUUUAACAAAUAAUGUGCAUUUCGUGUGCACACGUUGAUGAGCUUUCCAAGAAUUUUAAAUUUUUGGUGGCGCAUAAUGAUCAGCGUGAAAGUUUUUUUCAGUUCGAGUGUAGUAAAAUCUUUGCUUGGGUUGUGAAAAAACAUAAUCGCGCAAUGGGUGUGGCGAUUCUACUAACCCUGCCCCAACGUCACUCUUUCUCGCGAAAGAAUAUUAAUCUUCAGGGCCUCAAAUCAA